rnacentral:rRNA from 1 species
GUGAGGAAUAUUGCGCAAUGGAGGCAACUCUGACGCAGCCAUGCCGCGUGCAGGAAGAAGGCGCUACGCGUUGUAAACUGCUUUUAACCGGGAAGAAACCCCAGGACGUGUCCUGGGUUGACGGUACCGGAGGAAUAAGCACCGGCUAACUUCGUGCCAGCAGCCGCGGUAAUACGAAGGGUGCAAGCGUUAUCCGGAUUCAUUGGGUUUAAAGGGUGCGUAGGCGGAGCGUUAAGUCAGUGGUGAAAUCCUGCAGCUUAACUGUAGACUUGCCAUUGAUACUGGCGCUCUUGAGUGCGCUUGAAGUGGGCGGAAUGUGCCGUGUAGCGGUGAAAUGCUUAGAUAUGGCACAGAACACCAAUUGCGAAGGCAGCUCACUAAGGCGAUACUGACGCUGAGGCACGAAAGCGUGGGGAUCGAACAGGAUUAGAAACCCGUGUAAUCC